CCUCGAUAGUACCAGAAAGUACAAUCUACUUGCUUACAAAGAAACAUCACACACCACUGACGAGAAAUUAUGGCUUUGCAGUGCGCUACCAUAGUUUUGUUAUUUUCGCUUGCAUUCCUAUCGGUCCAAGUCCAAGGCUCAAAAAGAGAGGUCCUGCCAAAGGUGCACGAAGAAAUUAACUACAUGGGUCAAAUAUUAGAUUGUGAUGACUUUCAUACCACCGACAAUUCUGGUACGUGGUGUAACUGUCCGUUUCUGUUCUGCACCGGAAGCCAGGACUGUAGCAACAUGGGUGGACUUAUGUGCGGAGUUGUAAACAACGAUUACGACUACAUGAACAUCCAGGAUGAAGAUUGUGAUUGCCAAUAUUUGGGAUAAUUUGGAAUCUUGUAAUAUCACUUAAA